rnacentral:rRNA from 1 species
GUCCUACGGGGGGCAGCAGUGGGGAAUAUUGCACAAUGGGGGGAACCCUGAUGCAGCGACGCCGCGUGGGUGAAGGAGUAUUUCGGUAUGUAAAGCCCUAUCAGCAGGGAAGAACAAUGACGGUACCUGACUAAGAAGCCCCGGCUAACUACGUGCCAGCAGCCGCGGUAAUACGUAGGGGGCAAGCGUUAUCCGGAUUUACUGGGUGUAAAGGGAGCGUAGACGGCGAUGCAAGUCUGAAGUGAAAGGCGGGGGCCUAACCCCCGGACUGCUUUGGAAACUGUAUAGCUGGAGUGCAGGAGAGG